AUAUGGUUUCCCGUAAGUACUCAGACUCCUGAUUCUAUUUCUGUGCCAGUACCUGCUAUUUUAAUUACAGUGGCUCUAGAAUUCUACCCUCUGAAAAAGCAAGUCCCAUUUUACAUAUUUCUAAAACGUCCUGGUGAUCCUCACACAUUCAUUCUCCCUCAGGAACUUAAAAUCACUUGGUCUGCUUCCCCAUCCCCCAAGAAACAGCAGCGCUCUGCUGGGAAGAAGAUAAAACCUGUAAAUUCCUGUGGAAAGAACUGGUAUUUUAGGAUAUGGUCUCUCCAUCCAGAAGCAACACAGUAGAGAAAAGGGGGCCUCAUAACUCAGAUAACCCAAGACCCAGAAGACAAUGCACCUAGAGGUGAAGUGACAAUUAGGAUAAAGUGAUUUGCUGAAGGUCCGCCAAGUGGAUCAAUGGACAAGAAAGAUCCAUUAACUAAUUUACUCCUGGGAUGUGCAGGAAACACACAACUGCUGUGGAGGUCACCAAGAUCCCAGCCUUAAAAAAAAAAAAUAAAUAAAUAAAA